AUAAUUUGCAGCGUUAUGUAUGGCUCAUCAGUAUCACUGUAUGUCAAACAAAAAACCCCCAAAUAUAUUCACUGUUCAUUAGAAAUGUGAAACACUGGAAAAAAUGGAAUUCUAUACAUUUGUUUCCUUAAAUAUUUGACCAAGAUAUUCUUCAAAAAGUUAAAACUGCCUUCUCCACAUAAUUUUGUGUACAUAUGGCACGAGUUGACACCCUAAAACAGUGUGAAUUCCAUCGAAAAGGCACUGUUUAACAAUACUCAGAAUAACCUGACAAGUCUACUUCAGUGACGUGUGAAAGUGAAGAAUAUAUUUGAGAAGGUAGAUGGACAAACCCUUAUAAAAAAAGUACAGCGUUACUGUUUAAAUAUACUAUAGCUAUAUCAAAGGAAAUAAAGUGCCACAGAGAAAUGACCCUUUUAUGACAAUUAAGCCUAUAAACACUUUGAACCAUAUUACAGUUCUGUAACACAAAAAUGACAAAAAUUAUUUUCUUAAAGGCACAAAAGCAUGAAUACUAAAUGAGAGUUGUAUUUUACAAGGCCAACUUUUUCAAUGGAAUGGUAACAAAAAUUACACUGUACCUUUAUAAGUAAUACAAAAAAAGUAGUAAUAUGAAAUACAAAUGAAAUAUCUAUCACUGAAACUUACUUAUAUCACACACCCUAUUUAUUGUCUUUUCGUGGGCCAGCUACAUCUCACUAAAUGGUGGAUAACUGAAGGCAUAGUAUAUUUAAUAACUAAAACAAAAACCCACAUGUCAAUAACUAUUACUUAUUUAAAUUUUCCAGUGAAAAAAAUAAAGCUACAGGCUACAUUAACAGAUCUACAAAGAAAGCACGUAAAAGGUCAGGUAACGGCAGCUUUAAAAGAGAGUAAAGAAAGACAGUCAGAAGAAAACGAAGGAAAGAGUCCAGUUCCGGUUACAGGGAGGAGAGGAGAGAGGCGGCUCAACUUUGAGGAGAAUAACCUCAAUGCCGAUAUGAGUAAGCGACUACAGAGAAGCCGAGGGUUGGGCCAGGGAGGAAACGGGGAGGUCCAUUUCUCUCGCAAAGCAACGGAAGAGAUCUCAACCACAGUGACCCUCUGA
rnacentral:lncRNA from 1 species